rnacentral:rRNA from 1 species
AUUGAACGCUGGCGGCAUGCCUUACACAUGCAAGUCGAACGGUAACGGGCCUUCGGGUGCCGACGAGUGGCGAACGGGUGAGUAAUGCAUCGGAACGUACCUUUCAGUGGGGGAUAACGUAGCGAAAGUUACGCUAAUACCGCAUAUUCUGUGAGCAGGAAAGCAGGGGAUCGCAAGACCUUGCGCUGAUUGAGCGGCCGAUGUCAGAUUAGCUAGUUGGUGAGGUAAAGGCUCACCAAGGCGACGAUCUGUAGCGGGUCUGAGAGGAUGAUCCGCCACACUGGAACUGAGACACGGUCCAGACUCCUACGGGAGGCAGCAGUGGGGAAUUUUGGACAAUGGGGGCAACCCUGAUCCAGCCAUGCCGCGUGAGUGAA